GGGUGUGUUUUCUUAAUUUAUUAUACUCAGUUAGAGCUUGACUCAAUAACCAAUAGAUGUACUGAAUACACAGGAUAACAACUUGAGAUCGACUCAGAAUCGGCGCAACUGAACUUGUCUGAGUUUGGUAAGACCAAGAAAACCACUAUAAUGCUCAUUUCCGAGUCAAGACAAGUUUGAACAUCCUAAAUAUUUGCUCUCAGUAAUUACAGACCUUUUAGUACUAUAAAACACAUCAUUAAAUGAAGGAAAUGCGAGCUACAAUCAUGGUCAGUAUAAAACACAUCUCUGUGUGAAGGAAAUUUGAGCUUUCAUCGCAGAUGCAAGGAAGUUAAGUCAAAGAAUACCAUUCAUCACUGAUCACCCUUCUCUUCAGGUUGCUAAAUCGUUCUAUGCAAACAACUACAGCACUAUGAAAACAGAUAUGCAUAACAAAUUACUAUAGCUCUCUGAAGAGGACAGUUAAUAUUCAAUCUCAGCUUCAGAUUCCAGUCGCAUUAAGACCAAAUCUCUGUUUUCUUCCCCCGUGAAGUAUUAAUGUUAUAACUUAAACUAAAUUUAGGUUUCCAGUCGCAUUAAGACCAAAUCUCUGUUUCCUUCCCCCGUGAAGUAUUAAUGUUAUAACUUAAACUAAAUUUAGGUGCUUCUUGUCACGGGUUCGAGCCGUGG
rnacentral:lncRNA from 1 species